rnacentral:tRNA from 1 species
GUGGGUAUAGCUCAGUGGUAGAGUGUGUGCUUAGCAUGUACAAAGCCCUGGGUUCAAUCCCCAGUAUCUCUA